rnacentral:lncRNA from 1 species
AGGCGAACAGAAACUUCUGGGCGAAGACGAGGUAGCUGACUGUCUGCUUGGGAGAUGGAGGAGCAGGAGAGAGCUAUGGAAGAGGAUGCUCUGGACUCCAAGCCUCCACUGACCACUGAAGAGGAUGAGCCCAAACACACAGACCUCCACGGGUCUCAUAUCACUGAAACACAACAGGAGCCCAGUGAACCUGAAGAGAAUGAGACGAAGCCACAGUCCUCAGAGCUGCUUGUUAUCAACAGCAUAGCUCCUCCAGACAGCUGGGAACCAGCCCACACUGAUAUCGAACCUGAGCAACUGACAGAGACAGAAAUGCUGAUCCUGUCACAGACAGAGAAUCGGACAGCGAUACAGACACAGGACCAAACACAGACAUUAUCACAGACAGAGGAGUUUAUCAUACUUGAUCAGAAUGGACAGCCCAUACAGUGUGAACGCGUGGUGAUACUGACCGGUCAGUCAGACAACGGAGAGAUGUACGUUAUCCCCUCUAAUCAGGUAUUACUUCCUCGUGGACAACUACUGGACAUCAUAGACCUCACAGGAUCCUGCGGAGGGAAGACCGCGGAUGAGGAAGAGCUUCACACUAUCACGUUAACGGCCGUUACGGACGACAGCGGCGGUUCGACGACGGCCGUU